rnacentral:rRNA from 1 species
UCUUCCCUCUGGCGGCGUGCCUAAUACAUGCAAGUCGAGCGAACAGACGAGGAGCUUGCUCCUCUGACGUUAGCGGCGGACGGGUGAGUAACACGUGGAUAACCUACCUAUAAGACUGGGAUAACUUCGGGAAACCGGAGCUAAUACCGGAUAAUAUAUUGAACCGCAUGGUUCAAUAGUGAAAGACGGUUUUGCUGUCACUUAUAGAUGGAUCCGCGCCGCAUUAGCUAGUUGGUAAGGUAACGGCUUACCAAGGCGACGAUGCGUAGCCGACCUGAGAGGGUGAUCGGCCACACUGGAACUGAGACACGGUCCAGACUCCUACGGGAGGCAGCAGUAGGGAAUCUUCCGCAAUGGGCGAAAGCCUGACGGAGCAACGCCGCGUGAGUGAUGAAGGUCUUCGGAUCGUAAAACUCUGUUAUUAGGGAAGAACAUAUGUGUAAGUAACUAUGCACGUCUUGACGGUACCUAAUCAGAAAGCCACGGCUAACUACGUG